UCAAGGAACGAAUCAUUGGAGGCUACUGUACAUUGGAGAAAGCUGCGAUCCCGGUCAUAUUAAAAGACGAGAAUAAUAUCUGCUUGAUACAAGUCUUUCCUUCGGUGACAGCAUUGUUACCUAAGUUUAUUGACAGAUACCAAUACAGGAAGUCAAUGGUUGUACACAAUGACUGGCCUGUUGGUCUUAUUAGAAAGUAUAAAGAACAAGAGUGUCCUAAUAUUCCUGCUGACUCGGAUCGAAAACACAUUAUACGAAGAAAUCAAGUUGCAUAAUCCAAACGCAAGUCCGCUUCUUUAGAUUUGGAAAUCAUAAACCACGAUCUACCACAUCUCUCCUGUUCAAAUUGGUAGACAAACGUGUUUAAGAACAUUUGAAAUAUUAACAAAAUGAGUAACUGUGAUGAUGCAAAUAUAAAUGAAGAGAUUAAUAACUCAAAGAAACAAUGUAAUUCUAAGAAACAUAUUGAUGUAGCUGUAUUUUAUAGUAAUACUAAUGCAAUGAUCAUCUGUGUUGACCUGCGUGCAAUUAAUAACAAUUAAUAAUGCGACUGUGUGCUAUUUCUACUAAGAGCCAUGAUUAUGAGAAAAACAUCGAUAAAUUUUCAUUUCUAUUGUCAGAUGGAAGAAGUGCUAAAAUUGGUAUUAAUUUGGAGUCCUUGGAGACUGAUUGUCAAAAAGAAAAGCUUGCAUUUACCUCUUUUUUUAUGAUAUAUAUGUGUUUCUAAAUAUUUUUUAUCUUGAAAUGAGAGAUCAUACAUAUCUGUUAUGAAAAGUUUAAUUUAUCCGGAAUAUAAUUUGAAUUAGAAAAAAAUAUGUAACAUGUUUUUACAUAUAGAUAGAAUAUAAUUAUGGGGACGAUGUUUUUAUAUAUAUGUGAGGUACAUUUAUGACAGAAAUGCUUGUAGUAAUCUCAACUUUCUUUGAUAAGAUAAAUAAUAGAACACGUUAAUAAAAGUAAAAACUACUUUGUUAUUCUUCCUUAAAAUCUAACAUAAA